rnacentral:lncRNA from 1 species
UACUACUAGCAUCACAGCCCUUUCCUGUCCGUUAAGUAGAAAUGAGCAGAAACCUGGAUAGUCCAAAAGUCAUUUUAUAUUUAGCUUUGGAACUUGUCUUUGUACAUUCAUUUGAAUAUGGAUGAGCCACAAAUUGACUUCAUACAAAUUAGCAAACUUUCUUGGAAUGAGUUCUACUGUUUGCUCCUCUUCAGUUCCUUUCUGAUCCUCACUGCUUGCUAGACAUUAGCCAUUUCUUAAGUGCAGCAGCCAGGGCAAAACUGUCCUCUUUCUGCUUUGUCCAAGCAAAGACCUGGUGAUUGUGGAGUUGCAAGUCUUUACAUUGUAUCCUUUCUGAGCAUGAGGAGAUAAAGUAAAAUGUUAAGGCAGGUCAUAAAGGAAGUACCAAGAAGGUGUUGAGAAAAUGUUGGCAAAGCAGUCAGGAAGAAUACAGUAAAUUCUGUUUACAAACUUGUUAGUUUUGUAGUUGGAUACAUCCCUUGGAUUAAUAAGAGCUGACUUUAUAGGCACUGAAAAGUAUCUGAAUUUUAGCAGAUUGUGGGUUUAUGUAUUAUCAAAGUCAGGUUUAGAUGGUAAAAACAAGGUUUGUCCAUUAUUUUUUUUUAAUGCCUGUUCUAUAUAUUUAGGUAUCUGGUUUCCUACUUUAGAUCAUGUAAUUAGUAACUGAUUCUGAUUUUUUACCCAUAAUACAUUUUCCAGUAUUUGUUCCUCAUGUUUAUAGUUCACUACUGGAAAAAUUCUUCCCUGACAUCUGUUCUGGAUUAGUUCUCCUUUCCAGUUAUGUUUUCCUGUUUUAUCAGU